rnacentral:rRNA from 1 species
CCCUUAGAUGUUCUGGGCCGCACGCGCGCUACACUGAUGCAUUCAACGAGUCUAAAACCUGCUCUGAUAGGGGUGGGUAAUCUUUUGAAUGUGCAUCGUGAUUGGGAUAGAUGAUUGCAAUUUUUCAUCUUCAACGAGGAAUGCCUAGUAAACGCAAGUCAUCAGCUUGCAUUGAUUACGUCCCUGCCCUUUAUACACACCGCCCGUCGCUCCUACCGAUUGAAUGAUCCGAUGAAUAUCAUGGAUUGAGGAUGCAAGUAGGUUAGCCUAUCUUCAUCUUCGAGAAGUGAAGUAAAUCUUAUCAUUUAGAGGAAGGAGAAGUCGUAACA